rnacentral:rRNA from 1 species
CGGAGGGUGCGAGCGUUGUCCGGAAUCAUUGGGCGUAAAGGGCGCGUAGGUGGCCCGGUCAGUCUCUGGUGAAGGCGCGGGGCUCAACCCUGCGUCGGCCAGGGAUACUGCCGCGGCUCGAGCACUGUAGAGGCAGGCGGAAUUCCGGGUGUAGCGGUGGAAUGCGUAGAGAUCCGGAAGAACACCGGUGGCGAAGGCGGCCUGCUGGGCAGUUUGGCUGACACUGAGGCGCGACAGCGUGGGGAGCAAACAGGAUUAGAUACCCUGGUAGUCCACGCCGUAAACGAUGGGCACUAGGCGCUUGGGGAGCGACCCCCGAGGGCCGGCGCUAACGCAUUAAGUGCCCCGCCUGGGGAGUACGGCCGCAAGGCUG